rnacentral:rRNA from 1 species
CGAAGCUGCGGCAGCGACGCUGAUGCGUUGUUGGGUAGGGGAGCGUUCUGUAAGCCUGCGAAGGUGUGCUGUGAGGCAUGCUGGAGGUAUCAGAAGUGCGAAUGCUGACAUAAGUAACGAUAAAGCGGGUGAAAAGCCCGCUCGCCGGAAGACCAAGGGUUCCUGUCCAACGUUAAUCGGGGCAGGGUGAGUCGACCCCUAAGGCGAGGCCGAAAGGCGUAGUCGAUGGGAAACAGGUUAAUAUUCCUGUACUUGGUGUUACUGCGAAGGGGGGACGGAGAAGGCUAUGUUGGCCGGGCGACGGUUGUCCCGGUUUAAGCGUGUAGGCUGGUUUUCCAGGCAAAUCCGGAAAAUCAAGGCUGAGGCGUGAUGACGAGGCACUACGGUGCUGAAGCAACAAAUGCCCUGCUUCCAGGAAAAGCCUCUAAGCAUCAGGUAACAUCAAAUCGUACCCCAAACCGACACAGGUGGUCAGGUAGAGAAUACCAAGGCGCUUGAGAGAACUCGGGUGAAGGAACUAGGCAAAAUGGUGCCGUAACUUCGGGAGAAGGCACGCUGAUAUGUAGGUGAAGUGAUUUACUCAUGGAGCUGAAAUCAGUCGAAGAUACCAGCUGGCUGCAACUGUUUAUUAAAAACACAGCACUGUGCAAACACGAAAGUGGACGUAUACGGUGUGACGCCUGCCCGGUGCCGGAAGGUUAAUUGAUGGGGUUAGCGCAAGCGAAGCUCUUGAUCGAAGCCCCGGUAAACGGCGGCCGUAACUAUAACGGUCCUAAGGUAGCGAAAUUCCUUGUCGGGUAAGUUCCGACCUGCACGAAUGGCGUAAUGAUGGCCAGGCUGUCUCCACCCGAGACUCAGUGAAAUUGAACUCGCUGUGAAGAUGCAGUGUACCCGCGGCAAGACGGAAAGACCCCGUGAACCUUUACUAUAGCUUGACACUGAACAUUGAGCCUUGAUGUGUAGGAUAGGUGGGAGGCUUUGAAGUGUGGACGCCAGUCUGCAUGGAGCCGACCUUGAAAUACCACCCUUUAAUGUUUGAUGUUCUAACGUUGACCCGUGAUCCGGGUUGCGGACAGUGUCUGGUGGGUAGUUUGACUGGGGCGGUCUCCUCCUAAAGAGUAACGGAGGAGCACGAAGGUUGGCUAAUCCUGGUCGGACAUCAGGAGGUUAGUGCAAUGGCAUAAGCCAGCUUGACUGCGAGCGUGACGGCGCGAGCAGGUGCGAAAGCAGGUCAUAGUGAUCCGGUGGUUCUGAAUGGAAGGGCCAUCGCUCAACGGAUAAAAGGUACUCCGGGGAUAACAGGCUGAUACCGCCCAAGAGUUCAUAUCGACGGCGGUGUUUGGCACCUCGAUGUCGGCUCAUCACAUCCUGGGGCUGAAGUAGGUCCCAAGGGUAUGGCUGUUCGCCAUUUAAAGUGGUACGCGAGCUGGGUUUAGAACGUCGUGAGACAGUUCGGUCCCUAUCUGCCGUGGGCGCUGGAGAACUGAGGGGGGCUGCUCCUAGUACGAGAGGACCGGAGUGGACGCAUCACUGGUGUUCGGGUUGUCAUGCCAAUGGCACUGCCCGGUAGCUAAAUGCGGAAGAGAUAAGUGCUGAAAGCAUCUAAGCACGAAACUUGCCCCGAGAUGAGUUCUCCCUGACUCCUUGAGAGUCCUGAAGGAACGUUGAAGACGACGACGUUGAUAGGCCGGGUGUGUAAGCGCAGCGAUGCGUUGAGCUAACCGGUACUAAUGAACCGUGAGGCUUAACCUU